rnacentral:siRNA from 1 species
CAGAUUACUGUUUUUGGUCCG